ensembl:lncRNA
AUGAGGCCAAUAAGAUGGAGAAGGGUCAGGAUGGAGGAAAGCGGUCCAGGAGGAACUCUGACGCCAUGUGAGGAACCCGGUGACCAGCUCGUGUCUGAGCUGCUGAGGACGGUGGAGCUGCAGGUGACUCAAGCCCAUUCCCUUUCUAUCAGACCGGCCGCCACCUACUGGAGCGUGUCCAGGCAGAGACGUGCUGUGUGGGACGGUGCAGCGGUGGAGGUCCUGGGUGGAAGCGAAGCUGCUCAUCUGAUUUAAGUCUUAUCGAUUGCAGCGCUGGGCAGUAAUACAGAGCGAGACGUGAUUAGUCUGAGCCAUUCUGCUCACAUGUUUCAGUGGACGAUUUUCUUUAGUUUCUGUUGCUUCAGUUUGAAAAUAUUAUCGACGCCAAAUGUUGUUGGCUUUAAGUGAAAUCAGCAUCCAAAAUCAAUUAAAUGCUGG